UGAAAGUCACCUGAUGCUUAUGAUUUAAUGAUAAAAAUGUGUAGUCAAUUUGCAAUGAAGUUAAGACAUACAACCCUGGAAUAUUUUAACUACAAAUUAUUGCAGAUACCUGAGGAACUUUGAAAGGUGAACGACCCGAAGUACUGAAAUGUUCUCAGCAUGAAUUAAGUAAUUCAUCUGUAAAGUGGUCUGAAGAUAGAGGCAAUAGAAUUUCCAGUAAUAACAAAUGAUCAGAGAUGGAUUUGGCCUGACACUCCAAGAAGUGGUGAAAUUGAGUCACUGCAGCAGCUGAGGCAGAGAGAGUUUCCUUCAGGAUUCACGGCCUAUUUCUCAGUUCUGGGAAAACAACUAUAACAACUCAACAGAGUGAAGAGAGAUAAAGAUGUUGGGAAUGACUGAUUUCAAACAAUCAAAACUGCUUUGGGGAUGAGGAUGAAGUUGGGACAUUACUGCCUUGUAUACCACAUACUAUAAUAUUUAUUAUGUCUAUUGUUUAUUGUAUGUGUCCUUCUUUAGAAUUUUAACUCCCCAAGGGCAAAGAUCCCUGACUGUUUUGUUUAUCAAUGUAUCCAAAAGGCCUAAAACAGAGCCUUGUACCUUAUACACACUCUGCAAAUAUUUGCUGAAUUGAAUAAAAGGCUGCCAAUCUAUAAACUAUGCUGCUUUCAAAUAAACUAAGACAAGGACAUUGAUAGCAUAUCCUCA